GGAGGAUACAGCUCAGCGGUAGAGCGCAUGCUUUGCAGGCAUGAGGUCCUGGGUUCAAUCCCCAGUACCUCCA
rnacentral:tRNA from 1 species